AGCGAACGCUGGCGGCAGGCCUAACACAUGCAAGUCGAACGGACCCUUCGGGGUUAGUGGCGGACGGGUGAGUAACACGUGGGAACGUGCCUUUAGGUUCGGAAUAGCUCCUGGAAACGGGUGGUAAUGCCGAAUGUGCCCUUCGGGGGAAAGAUUUAUCGCCUUUAGAGCGGCCCGCGUCUGAUUAGCUAGUUGGUGAGGUAAUGGCUCACUAAGGCGACGAGCAGUAGCUGGUCUGAGAGGAUGACCAGCCACAUUGGGACUGAGACACGGCCCAAACUCCUACGGGAGGCAGCAGUGGGGAAUCUUGCGCAAUGGGCGAAAGCCUGACGCAGCCAUGCCGCGUGGAUGAUGAAGGACUUAGGAUUGUAAAAUCCUUUCACCGGUGAAGAUAAUGACUGUAGCCGGAGAAGAAGCCCCGGCUAACUUCGUGCCAGCCGCCGCCGUAAAAC
rnacentral:rRNA from 1 species